GAAGGAUUGCCUAAACUCAUAUAUAUAUAUAUAUCCCUUGCUCUUGAAAGUUAGAAAGUGUGGAAUACAAAAUAGUGUUUUCUCUCCUCCUCCUUUUCCAACAAAGUGUUAUUAGAACCUCUUUCCUCAAUCUUGAACAAUUUCAGAAAUGGCUAGCAGUGGUCUUCUUUCUUUUCAAUUCUCUCACCUUACAAAAGAAAAUCAUGAGAGUUGGUGCAUUCGUAUGAAAGCCUUGCUUGGCUCACAAGAUGUGUGGGAUAUUGUUGAUAGAGGCUUUACUCCAUCGGAAGAUGAAGUAUCGUUAUCUCAAAA
rnacentral:misc_RNA from 1 species